rnacentral:rRNA from 1 species
GACGAACGCUGGCGGCGUGCUUAACACAUGCAAGUCGAACGGAAAGGCCUUUUCGGAGGUACUCGAGUGGCGAACGGGUGCGUAACACGUGGGUGAUCUGCCCUGCACUCUGGGAUAAGCCUGGGAAACUGGGUCUAAUACCGGAUAGGACCGCACUUUAGUGUGUGUGGUGGAAAGUUUUUUCGGUGUAGGAUGAGCCCGCGGCCUAUCAGCUUGUUGGUGGGGUAAUGGCCUACCAAGGCGGCGACGGGUAGCCGGACUGAGAGGUUGGUCGGCCACAUUGGGACUGAGAUACGGCCCAGACUCCUACGGGAGGGAGCAGUGGGGAAGAUUGAACAAUGGGCGCAAGCCUGAUGCAGCGACGCCGCGUGGGGGAUGACGGCCUUCGGGUUGUAAACUCCUUUCGCCAGGGACGAAGCGUUUUGUGACGGUACCUGGAGAAGAAGCACCGGCUAACUACGUG